GCUAAUCAAAGUCUAGUUAGACAGGGCUCAGAUAGUAUGUCAUGUUAUGCUCCAAGUGAAGUUAGCAUUGAUUGGAGUGUUGUAACUGCUAGUGCAGCAGAUUUCUCUAUGAUGUCUGAUAUAGAAGAAGUUAAAAUACCCUCAAUUAGAACCAAUAACAACUCCAAUGGAAGAGACAAGGCUAAACGUCGUUCGAGCAUUUUGU
rnacentral:misc_RNA from 1 species